GACGAACGCUGGCGGCGUGCCUAAUACAUGCAAGUCGAGCGGACCACUUCGGUGUUCAGCGGCGGACGGGUGAGUAACACGUGGGCAACCUGCCUGUAAGACUGGGAUAACACCGGGAAACCGGUGCUAAUACCGGAUAAUCCUUUCCUUCACAUGAGGGAAAGCUGAAAGACGGUUUCGGCUGUCACUUACAGAUGGGCCAGCGGCGCAUGAGCUAGUUGGUGAGGUAAUGGCUCACCAAGGCAACGAUGCGUAGCCGACCUGAGAGGGUGAUCGGCCACACUGGGACUGAGACACGGCCCAGACUCCUACGGGAGGCAGCAGUAGGGAAUCUUCCGCAAUGGACGAAAGUCUGACGGAGCAACGCCGCGUGAGCGAUGAAGGCCUUCGGGUCGUAAAGCUCUGUUGUCAGGGAAGAACAAGUACCGGAGUAACUGCCGGUACCUUGACGGUACCUGACCAGAAAGCCACGGCUAACUACGUGCCAGCAGCCGCCGUAAUAC
rnacentral:rRNA from 1 species